rnacentral:rRNA from 1 species
GACGAACGCUGGCGGCGUGCUUAACUCAUGCAAGUCGAACGGAAAGGCCUCUUUCGGGGGGUACUCGAGUGUCGAACUGUUGAGUAACACGUUAGUAACCUGCCCUUUGCUUUGGGAUAACUUCAUGAAACUGGGGCUAAUACCGGAUAUGAGCUCCUGCUGCAUGGUGGGGGUUGGAAAGUUUCGGCGGUUGGGGAUGGACUCGCGGCUUAUCAGCUUGUUUGUGUGGUAGUGGCUUACUAAUGCUUUUACGGGUAGCCGGCCUGAGAGGGUGAACGGCCAAAUUGGGACUGAGGUACGGCCCAGCCUGCUACGGGAGGCAGUAGUGGGGAAGAGUGAACCAUGGGUGGAAGCCUGAUGCAGCAACGAAGUGUGCGGGAUGACGGAUUUCGGGUUGUAAACCGCGUUAGCUCACGACGAAGCUGUGUGUGACGGUAGUGGGUAAAGAAGCACCGGCUAACUACGUG